rnacentral:rRNA from 1 species
UGGAAGCGUCUGGAAAGGCGCGCGAUACAGGGUGACAGCCCCGUACACAAAAAUGCACAUGCUGUGAGCUCGAUGAGUAGGGCGGGACACGUGGUAUCCUGUCUGAAUAUGGGGGGACCAUCCUCCAAGGCUAAAUACUCCUGACUGACCGAUAGUGAACCAGUACCGUGAGGGAAAGGCGAAAAGAACCCCGGCGAGGGGAGUGAAAAAGAACCUGAAACCGUGUACGUACAAGCAGUGGGAGCACGCUUCGGCGUGUGACUGCGUACCUUUUGUAUAAUGGGUCAGCGACUUAUAUUCUGUAGCAAGGUUAACCGAAUAGGGGAGCCGAAGGGAAACCGAGUCUUAACUGGGCGUUAAGUUGCAGGGUAUAGACCCGAAACCCGGUGAUCUAGCCAUGGGCAGGUUGAAGGUUGGGUAACACUAACUGGAGGACCGAACCGACUAAUGUUGAAAAAUUAGCGGAUGACUUGUGGCUGGGGGUGAAAGGCCAAUCAAACCGGGAGAUAGCUGGUUCUCCCCGAAAGCUAUUUAGGUAGCGCCUCGUGAAUUCAUCUCCGGGGGUAGAGCACUGUUUCGGCAAGGGGGUCAUCCCGACUUACCAACCCGAUGCAAACUGCGAAUACCGGAGAAUGUUAUCACGGGAGACACACGGCGGGUGCUAACGUCCGUCGUGAAGAGGGAAACAACCCAGACCGCCAGCUAAGGUCCCAAAGUCAUGGUUAAGUGGGAAACGAUGUGGGAAGGCCCAGACAGCCAGGAUGUUGGCUUAGAAGCAGCCAUCAUUUAAAGAAAGCGUAAUAGCUCACUGGUCGAGUCGGCCUGCGCGGAAGAUGUAACGGGGCUAAACCAUGCACCGAAGCUGCGGCAGCGACACUAUGUGUUGUUGGGUAGGGGAGCGUUCUGUAAGCCUGUGAAGGUGUACUGUGAGGUAUGCUGGAGGUAUCAGAAGUGCGAAUGCUGACAUAAGUAACGAUAAAGCGGGUGAAAAGCCCGCUCGCCGGAAGACCAAGGGUUCCUGUCCAACGUUAAUCGGGGCAGGGUGAGUCGACCCCUAAGGCGAGGCCGAAAGGCGUAGUCGAUGGGAAACAGGUUAAUAUUCCUGUACUUGGUGUUACUGCGAAGGGGGGACGGAGAAGGCUAUGUUGGCCGGGCGACGGUUGUCCCGGUUUAAGCGUGUAGGCUGGUUUUCCAGGCAAAUCCGGAAAAUCAAGGCUGAGGCGUGAUGACGAGGCACUACGGUGCUGAAGCAACAAAUGCCCUGCUUCCAGGAAAAGCCUCUAAGCAUCAGGUAACAUCAAAUCGUACCCCAAACCGACACAGGUGGUCAGGUAGAGAAUACCAAGGCGCUUGAGAGAACUCGGGUGAAGGAACUAGGCAAAAUGGUGCCGUAACUUCGGGAGAAGGCACGCUGAUAUGUAGGUGAAGCGACUUGCUCGUGGAGCUGAAAUCAGUCGAAGAUACCAGCUGGCUGCAACUGUUUAUUAAAAACACAGCACUGUGCAAACACGAAAGUGGACGUAUACGGUGUGACGCCUGCCCGGUGCCGGAA